AGCUUCAGGAUGUUGACAGUGUGACGUUUGUUUUGGUGCAGCAGCAGCAGCACGAGUGUACAGUUUUAAACACAUAAACUGAAGAUGACAGCUCAGUGACAGUGUUUUAGUGUUAAUAAACAACAUUUGAUGUAGUCCGACAACUAAAAGAACCACAACACGCUGAGAUAAAGGACAGAAAUGCAGUGAAAAGCGACUCACCUAGAUUGAGGGAUGUGUUUGGACCGUACAGUCAACAGAAGCAGAGCUCCAGGACGUUUGGACUACGUUUUCUGGCGUGAUGGACGUCUUCUGCGGACAGGCAAACGCUCAUCCACUGCACCCUUGAGCAUGACGUUGUGUUUGGUCCUGCUUUUGAAUGAAGAAUAGCUGUGGAAAUGGGAUUCAAAACCAAAGGUUACUGAUGUGAAGAUAAAACAGGUUUCGAAAAUCUGCCCAUGUGGGAUUUGAACCCUGUCUUACUGAUUCAAUGGCAAAUGAUUUGCCUCUGCGCCACUGAGCUUCUGAUAACCUGUUCGUUUUAAUUCAGGCUAAAGAAUUAUGUCAAGAAAACCCAGAAAUCAGCAGCAGCAGGUGUUUUCAAUUAAGGUUUUUUUUUUAAUCCAUAGUCAUUAUUGCACUCUUUGGGGCACUCAAGCUCUCUUGUUAA
rnacentral:lncRNA from 1 species